UUGACGCCCCCUUCGUCCGCCAACAACGAUCGUGAUUCACUGAUUGACCAACACAGGUAAGCAACAGUCAGCAGACAAACAGGCUAAAACUUAGUUAGCAACGCAGUACAAUGACGGUGGUAUCAUUGUAGAUGCUGUCGUCAUUGCUGCCGUUGCUGCUGGUUGCGGCGGAACGAACUGUACUUCGCUCCAAGAUUUUUCUUCUCUAUACCCGAUUAGCCAGCUACAGUGGAAGCAAUUGUGUGGUUCUUCGUUCGCUGUUUGGAUCGCAAUCGAGACUUCAGUCUUCAUCGUGCCGCCGGCGCCGCUGCAGUGGCUGGCGGCAAGGGGCUGUUGUUGCUGAUUUUAUUGCAGCCGACUACACAUAGCGACGCUCCUCGCAAUGCAGUUAUGGUUUAGUCAGUAGAAGCAGGAAUCAAAACAUUGUCGCUCCGGAACGCGAAGCGUCUCGUGUGUGCGAUGUGUAAAUAGCUGCUGUUUCAACAGGUAUAGUUGCGGCCGUUUCAACUGAGUUAUAACUGUGGUGCAGGUGCUCUGCUGCUAUUAGCAAUCGUGGGGUAUCCGUUAAGCUAUUUCUUUUUCGCCGUUAUCAUUGUUGCGGUUGUAAUUGCGCUCUUAAAUGACUCUAAUCGUAGUAUCAAAAGAUACGUUCCUGCGUAGCCGACUGAAUUUGUGAUUUGGUGUGACUGGUGUCAUUUUUUAAUAAAGUUCAGGAUUACUCUCAUAAAAUAUCGGUCGGAACCGCCCGCCAGGAUAGGCGCCCCUCAGCCCGAGCCAGCGCGCUCUGUGCUCGGAUUCAAAACUGCGCGGGACGGUCCUUUCCCCUCUGGAUAACGGCGCGCCUUCGUGAGUUCCUUCCGAAAGCGCACACUCCCGCAUGCGUCUGUGUCUGGGCGCGCCAUCAAGCCCCGCGAAUUCCAUCGAGCUCGUAUCGAGAGCUGGCACUGAGUCCGGUCGUAUUUGCUGCUAUAUUGUGUUCUGUUAUGCACGCCUAUCCACCGGAAAGGUCGGAUGUGACUAGUUUCGGAAUGUUUGAACAAUAAAUAAUUUGCAAUGCGCGAGUUUCAGCACAAAAUGUAAACCAGUGUUAAUUCCAUAGGUGUGCUUUCACCGAUUAUGUGUAACUUUUUCGGUGAGAGAGGUACAAAUAAGUCCUGUACUUUGCUCUGAGCAGUGGUUACACUGUCCCGCGAUGCCCGUUUAUGUGUCGCUCCUCUGUUGUCGAUGGUCUUGAUGGCCGGUGGGUCCGUGUCGAAUGGUUAGUGAUGUUUUGUCGCUUCACCUGGUUACUGGUUUUGUUUCACGUACGAUCGAGUUGACUCUGGGGUUCUGUAGCCAAGUUGAGUCUUAUUGCCCGCCAUAUAUCCGACGGAUUUAUUGCGACACCGGCCGUUCUGCAGCAUUGUCAUGACCAGUAGCAGCAUCAAGGAGAACUGAAUUGUUGUUGUGAGCGGAUGACGUCGUUUUUUAAGCUGGGUGGGUGGGUGUCUGUCUGAGUGUAUAUGUUUCCCUUUGCUCAGCGCCGACAGCGACAGCAGCGGCUGGAGCAGCACGAGAAGUACGAUACUAGUGCCAACAUCAACAGAAGCAGAACCGGCAAUAAUAGCAGCAUCAACGAGCGCGGCGGCGGCGGCGGCGGCGGCAGGAGGUACAGACACCGUCAGAGAAGUGUGGUCCUGCUCGUGGACUGAGUACGUCUGUCCGCCCGUCUAUGGUUGGUUAGGCUCGUUAUGCGUGUCGCCAUGUUUGCGUCAUUGGAAAGAAAAACGGAGUAUUUGCUGCUGCCGACCGACGUCGUCUCCACUACAGCCGCUGCCACCUCUACAGCUACAGUCGAUCCCCGCGGCCCGUUUGUUUGUUGAAGCGCGACCUGCCUGUCGGUCUGUCCGUCCGGCCAGGCGACCGCCCGCUAGUCUGUCCCUGUACUGCUGCUGCUACCAGCAAUCGCAGUGGCGAUGAGUUGCUGAGGCGAUGUUUGUGGCCGCUGGCUGCUGGUGACUGGCGAAAGAACCAACGAACGCCGAGCGGCUGGCGUUUGUGCUGCAGCAGUGAGUCAGUUAGCUAGCCAUCCAGCCAGUAAUGCUGCCAAUCAUCGUGAUAGUGCGUGGCUGACGAUAGCAAUAACAGUCGCAGUAGCGGCAGCAGCCAGUUCUAGCGAUCGGGGGGGGGGGUCGCUGCUGCUGCUGCUGUACUAGUAGAAACAAGUCAGUGACAACAACAGUCAGAGCGGCGGCAGCAGCAGCAGGCUGGCAGUGUGGGAGUGUUCGUGUUUCCUGACAUUGCCGCUGUUGCUGCUGGCGAUCAGCAGUGCCUUUGUUACGUGUGGCUAAGCGAACGGCAAACCAACGGUUAAUCGAUCCGGUUCACCGCUGCAUGCUCCACUGCGGCUGGCCAGUGUCUAUGGCCAGAACUCGCAGCGACACGACGACCCAGCACGUACCAUACCUGCAACUGACGAGGGCACAAAGAAAAGUCUCAGAAGUGCGUUCCAUACCCGUCGUUCUAUUAUUACGCUCUCUUCGGGCACGCAACACUCAAAUAAGACGGCCGUGUGCGGUGACCACUUUGAGGGUACCUGGCUGAAGUAGAACCUCUCGGUCUGCACCCUUUGUUCGUGUCUUCGUCGUUUUCGCGGCGGCAGCAGCAGCAGCACGACGACAACUGUUUUGUCCAUUCAUAUACAAAUAAUAACAGCCGUAAUCUCUCUUUGUCGUUGCUGCCGCCUUCGCCGCCGCCGCCGCCGCCGCCGACGCGGACGCCUCUAAGUAUCCUCAAGCUGUGUCAGGGUCACCAUUUCUUUAUCUGAAGCAUAGAUACAAGGCACAAUACGCUCGCAGCGCAUCUAUACGGUUAAUAUUAAAUUUUGCAGGUGUUGCUGCAGAAAUAGCUGUGGGUUUCGUCGGCCACCGUUAUUGUGAUUAUUGUCGUCAACGACGACGACAACAACAACAACAA